UCUGAACUGAUCAUUUUUAUUCAGGCAUUGUUAGAUCCUCCUUCAAUUCCAUUGCUGAAAUAGGAGGCACAACCAUUUAAAUUAACAACAAAUAAGCCACAUUUUCUUCUGUAAAUAAGAGAAGUUCAGAAUUUCUCCAAAAAC